GAACUGCGAUAAGUAAUGUGAAUUGCAGAAUUCAGUGGAUCAUCGAGUCUUUGAACGCACAUUGCGCCCCCUGGCAUUCCGGGGGGCAUGCCUGUCCGAGCGUCAUUGCUGCCCUCAAGCCCGGCUUGGGUGUUGGGUCGUCGUCCCCCCCGGGGGACGGGCCCGAAAGGCAGCGGCGGCACCGUGUCCGGUCCUCGAGCGUAUGGGGCUUUGUCACCCGCUCGAUUAGGGCCGGCCGGGCGCCAGCCGGCGUCUCCAACCUUAUUUUUCUCAGGUUGACCUCGGAUCAGGUAGGGAUACCCGCUGAACUUAAGC
rnacentral:misc_RNA from 1 species